rnacentral:rRNA from 1 species
UAAGGAAUAUUGGUCAAUGGAGGCAACUCUGAACCAGCCAUGCCGCGUGAAGGAUUAAGGCCCUCUGGGUUGUAAACUUCUUUUAUAUGGGAAGAAAUGUACUUUUUCUAAAGUGCUUGACGGUACCAUAGGAAUAAGCACCGGCUAACUCCGUGCCAGCAGCCGCGGUAAUACGGAGGGUGCAAGCGUUAUCCGGAUUUACUGGGUUUAAAGGGUGCGUAGGCGGAUGAAUAAGUCAGUGGUGAAAUCUCCGAGCUUAACUCGGAAACUGCCGUUGAUACUAUUUGUCUUGAAUAUUGUGGAGGUAAGCGGAAUAUGUCAUGUAGCGGUGAAAUGCUUAGAUAUGACAUAGAACACCAAUUGCGAAGGCAGCUUGCUACACAAUCAUUGACGCUGAGGCACGAAAGCGUGGGGAUCAAACA